AGCUACGGGACAACCCCUUCCGAUUGAUUCUGUUUUAUGUCCUUUCCCGCUCUCAAUUAACCACAUUAAUUCCCUCUUCUCCUUCCGUUUUCUCUUUUUGUUCUCUUCUAGGAUCGGGAAUUGCCGCUGUUCGAAGGAUUCAAAAACAUUCAUCCCGUUGGACUUCACAGGCCAUACAAUGAUAUUUGGAAUCACCCGAUUCGUAGCCAACUCUCCCACCAGCGGCUGAUCAAGUUCUAGGUGGUUUGCCAUGUCCAUGAAUGCCAAGUUUGCCUAUUUUGACUGACUGACAUGUUUGCGCUAAUACCAGCCCAUUGUUAACGCCGUGGACCUUUUUUUCCCCCCUUUUUUUCGCUAACUCCAUUUGGCCCUGGUUUACGGUAUUAGGAGUGGCCUUUGGCCGCACUUUUAAAAAGGACUUCCUUCCACAGGGUUUUGUUUUUGUCUUCUCCCCUUGGCAACGUUAGUCAUCGUCUGUUUAAAUUUGGGCUUUUACUUUGAAAUUUUUGUUCUUUCAAGGGAUAGUUAUACGGUAUGGUAUGGUGGGAUACUAAAUUGUUCAAUUUUAUCCGCACUUGUAAUAGC
rnacentral:sRNA from 2 species